ACCCACUAAUGACGUAGGAGAACCGUUACAGUUGGACUUUUAAUCCAAAGGUCGUGGGUUUAAAUCCCACCUAGGAUG